rnacentral:lncRNA from 1 species
ACAAGUCAUGUAAAUCUCAAGUGUGCUGCAAUUUCUAACACAUCCAAUGGGCAAAUUUGGCAUGAAAUGCUAGAUUUUUUAAAUGUACUAAGAGUUGAAGGGAAAGACUUCAAACCAUCUAAAAAGAUCAUAUUGAAAGGAAUUUGCUUGCAAAUUGUGAACAACUUAUCUCUAGUUUAGUUUUACUCUUUCUACUUAGCUCUUAUCUUUUAGAAAGAGAAAUAAUGUUGUAAAAGAUGUGUUUUGAUCAAGUUUCACAUUUUGAAGUUGUUACCUUUGAUUUAUGAGAGUGUAAUCACUCAUUAGUUUUAAGUUGAGUGCCUAAAGCACAUGUUAGGUAUGUAAAACUUAAGAUUUGAUCUUGGGAUAAUUCACUUUGUAAAAACUUGAUGAAAGCUUAUUUCAUUGGUUUGGUCAAGUUAGGUUUUCAAUCCUCAACAAGGAUUGUCAAGAUAAUGGAUAUACGCUAGAGAGGACCAAACGAUUAUAAAUAGCUUUGUAUUAUCCAUUUCUCCUAACUCUUCCUUUCUUGGUAAAC